UGCAUGGUGCUAUGAGCAGACCGCGGGC
rnacentral:sRNA from 1 species